rnacentral:lncRNA from 1 species
CAGUAUGCCUGACACCAGUUUGGUGAUCUGCAGCUUAGUGAAGAAGUAGAACCCGGCAUACAGGAAGAGGUAGAUUGCAGAUGAUCCUGAGGUGAGAUAGGACCUCCACCACCAAUUAUAGUCCUCACUGCACAGUUGGAAAUAGCACAGCACGAUCGUAAUCUCCGCACAGGUGAUGAUGAGGAUAAUGAACACCAGGAAAAGGAAGCCAAAGAUGUAGUAGAACUGGUGAAGCCAAAUCGAUGUGAGGAUGAAGAAGAGCUCAAUAAAGACAGCCCCAAAUGGAAGAAUGCCACCAAUAAGAACGGUGAAGGCAGGGUUCAUGUACCAAGACUGCUCAGGGACCUGUCUUGGGAUCUUGUUAGUCUUCACCGGAGCCUCAAUGGCAGGUUGCUUGAAGCCCAGGUAGCUCCCAACAAAUACAAGAGGAACUGAGAUACCAAACCAUAGGAGGACCAAGGCAAACAUUGUGGUGAAAGGAACAGCACCAGACGACUUCUCCCCCCAUAUAAGAGCAUUCAGGAUGAAGAAAAUACUGAAAGCAAUCCCAGGAAACAGGAAGGCAGUCUUUAGGGUGAUACUCUUCCAUUCUGAUCCUUUAAACAUCUUAUAGAAGCGUGAAGAAGCAUAUCCAGCAAACAAUCCCAUCAAGACCCAAGUGAGCAGCAUGGCAGUCAUCAGC